GAUGAACGCUGGCGGCGUGCCUAAUACAUGCAAGUCGAGCGAACAGAUGAGGAGCUUGUUCCUCUGACGUUAGCGGCGGACGGGUGAGUAACACGUGGAUAACCUACCUAUAAGACUGGGAUAACUUCGGGAAACCGGAGCUAAUACCGGAUAAUAUGUUGAACCGCAUGGUUCAAUAGUGAAAGACGGUUUUGCUGUCACUUAUAGAUGGAUCCGCGCCGCAUUAGCUAGUUGGUAAGGUAACGGCUUACCAAGGCAACGAUGCGUAGCCGACCUGAGAGGGUGAUCGGCCACACUGGAACUGAGACACGGUCCAGACUCCUACGGGAGGCAGCAGUAGGGAAUCUUCCGCAAUGGGCGAAAGCCUGACGGAGCAACGCCGCGUGAGUGAUGAAGGUCUUCGGAUCGUAAAACUCUGUUAUUAGGGAAGAACAAAUGUGUAAGUAACUAUGCACGUCUUGACGGUACCUAAUCAGAAAGCCACGGCUAACUACGUG
rnacentral:rRNA from 1 species